AACAGGCAGCACAGUAAAAAUUUCGGUCUUUAUGGGUGGCGAGUGGCGGACGGGUGAGUAAAGCGUAGGAAUCUGUCCUGGAGCGUGGGAUAACCCGAGGAAACUCGGGCUAAUACCACAUGAUAUCGAGAGAUCAAAAGCAGGGGACCGAAAGGCCUUGCGCUCUGGGGUGAGCCUACGUCGGAUUAGCUAGUUGGUGGGGUAAAAGCCUACCAAGGCGACGAUCCGUAGCUGGUCUGAAAGGAUGACCAGCCACACUGGGACUGAGACACGGCCCAGACUCCUACGGGAGGCAGCAGUGGGGAAUCUUGGACAAUGGGGGAAACCCUGAUCCAGCGAUGCCGCGUGUGUGAAGAAGGCCUUCGGGUUGUAAAGCACUUUAGGUGGGGAAGAAAGGUAACGAGCGAAUAACUUGUUGCUAUGACGGUACCCGCAGAAUAAGCACCGGCUAACUCUGUGCCAGCAGCCGCGGUAAUACAGAGGGUGCAAGCGUUAAUCAGAAUGACUGGGCGUAAAGGGCGUGUAGGUGGUUGACUAGGUUUGAUGUGAAAUCCCCGGGCUUAACCUGGGAAUUGCGUCGAAAACGGGUCGACUCGAGUGAGAUAGAGGGUUGUGGAAUUUCCGGUGUAGCGGUGAAAUGCGUAGAUAUCGGAAAGAACAUCAGUGGCGAAGGCGGGAACCUGGAUCUUAACUGACACUGAGGCGCGAAGGCGUG
rnacentral:rRNA from 1 species